GCUCCGUUGGUCAAAUGGUUAAGACGCCUGACUUUCUAUCAGUAAUUAAGAGUUCGAUUCUCUUACGGAGUACAA
rnacentral:tRNA from 1 species